ACCCCGCUUAAUUGAGACCCUCGUUCAUUGCAUAGCGAGGGUGUUCUUCCUGGCUUCUAAGGAGACCCCAAAUUGAUAGCAGCUAUUUCGUUUGAAAGUGCGUACAGAAUGGAGUCAUUGUUCUCAUUUGUUUCAGUGAUCUGUGCCGUAACCUCUUCUAACGGCGCCAAUGCAAGACACGAAGAGAGCGAACGGACAACUGAAACGAAAAAAGAUGAUCAGCGCAUAGAAGGCAAAAUGGUGGAAGCAAUCGCACCAGAAUGAACGUUCGGUCAGCGAUCUCUACAGAGGGGGCCGGAAAAGGAACCUGUAGUUGUGGAAGCACGUCAACGCCUCAAAGAAGCCCAUGCCAAAUGACCUGGUGCCAAGGAGAAUCCAUAUGCACCGGAUACUGUGCGCCGUAGAAGAGGAAGUGCGAAGAAUAAUCAAAAAAGAAUCAAAAAGUCUGAAUAGCAGUUUCCCGACUCUUGUGAGCAUCCUUGAUUUGUUAAGGCUUUCUUAGCAUAGAGUAAAUCCUUGUUAUAAAAAUUUA
rnacentral:lncRNA from 1 species